GCACUGCUGAUGAGUCCCAUAAUAGGACGAAACGGUCGUUCAGUGC
rfam:Schistosoma mansoni strain Puerto Rico chromosome 1, complete genome